rnacentral:rRNA from 1 species
UACGUAGGUGGCAAGCGUUAUCCGGAUUUAUUGGGCGUAAAGGGAACGCAGGCGGUCUUUUAAGUCUGAUGUGAAAGCCUUCGGCUUAACCGGAGUAGUGCAUUGGAAACUGGGAGACUUGAGUGCAGAAGAGGAGAGUGGAACUCCAUGUGUAGCGGUGAAAUGCGUAGAUAUAUGGAAGAACACCAGUGGCGAAAGCGGCUCUCUGGUCUGUAACUGACGCUGAGGCACGAAAGCGUGGGGAGCAAACAGG